rnacentral:rRNA from 1 species
UACAGAGGGUGCGAGCGUUAAUCGGAAUUACUGGGCGUAAAGCGCGCGUAGGCGGCUUUGCAAGUCGGGUGUGAAAUCCCCAGGCCUAACCUGGGAACUGCAUUCGAGACCGCAUGGCUAGAGUAUCGGAGAGGGAAGUGGAAUUUCAGGUGUAGCGGUGAAAUGCGUAGAUAUCUGAAGGAACAUCAGUGGCGAAAGCGACUUCCUGGACGAAUACUGACGCUCAUGUGCGAAAGCGUGGGGAGCAAACAGG